rnacentral:rRNA from 1 species
CAGCCGUAAACUAUGCGCGUUAGGUGUAUCGGUGACCACGAGUUACCGAGGUGCCGAAGGGAAACCGUGAAACGUGCCGCCUGGGAAGUACAGUCGCAAGGCUGAAACUUAAAGGAAUUGGCGGGGGAGCACCACAACAGGUGGAGCCUGCGGUUUAAUUGGACUCAACGCCGGGAAGCUCACCGGAUAGGACAGCAGAAUGAUUGCCGGGCUGAAGACCCAGCAUGACUAGCUGAGAGGUGGUGCAUGGCGUCAGUGACU